rnacentral:rRNA from 1 species
AGGGAUUGCCUCAGUAACGGCGAGUGAAGCGGCAUCAGCUCAAAUUUGAAAUCUGGCCUCUUCGGGGCCCGAGUUGUAAUUUGUAGAGGGUGUUUCGGGCGAGGCGCCGGCCCAAGUUCCUUGGAACAGGACGUCAUAGAGGGUGAGAAUCCCGUAUGCAGCCGGUGACCGACCUCAUGUGAAGCCCCUUCGACGAGUCGAGUUGUUUGGGAAUGCAGCUCUAAAUGGGUGGUAAAUUUCAUCUAAAGCUAAAUACCGGCCAGAGACCGAUAGCGCACAAGUAGAGUGAUCGAAAGAUGAAAAGCACUUUGGAAAGAGAGUCAAACAGUACGUGAAAUUGUUGAAAGGGAAGCGCUUGCAACCAGACCUGUGUUCGGGUGAUCAACCGCCGUUCUCGGUGGUGCACUCGCCCGUUGCAGGCCAGCAUCGGUUCGGGCGGCUGGAUAAAGGCCUUGGGAAUGUAGCUCCCCUCGGGGAGCGUUAUAGCCCUUGGUGCAAUGCGGCCUGCCUGGACCGAGGACCGCGCUUCGGCUAGGAUGCUGGCGUAAUGGUUGUCAGCGGCCCGUCUUGAAACACGGACCAAGGAGUCUAACAUCUAUGCGAGUGUUUGGGUGUCAAACCCAUGCGCGCAAUGAAAGUGAACGGAGGUGAGAACCCUUAAGGGUGCAUCAUCGACCGAUCCAGAUGUCUUCGGAUGGAUUUGAGUAAGAGCAUAGCUGUUGGGACCCGAAAGAUGGUGAACUAUGCCUGAAUAGGGUGAAGCCAGAGGAAACUCUGGUGGAGGCUCGCAGCGGUUCUGACGUGCAAAUCGAUCGUCAAAUUUGGGUAUAGGGGCGAAAGACUAAUCGAACCAU